UACGUAGGGGCCAAGCGUUGUCCGGAUUUAUUGGGCGUAAAGAGCUCGUAGGCGGUUCGGCAAGUCAGCUGUGAAAUCUCCACGCUCAACGUGGAGGGGUCAGCUGAUACUGCUGUGACUUGAGUCCGGUAGGGGAGUGUGGAAUUCCCGGUGUAGCGGUGAGAUGCGCAGAUAUCGGGAGGAACACCAGUGGCGAAGGCGGUCUGCUGGGCCGUUGCUGACGCUGAGGCGCGACAGCGUGGGGAGCAAACAGG
rnacentral:rRNA from 1 species